UAUAACGUCAGCAGUCACAAUUUUAUUUUUAGCAUGAUAAAAACAUGUAAAUUAUUAUAAUGUCAACGUAUAAUUUUACAAUGAUAGGUUUUUCACGUUGAAUCAAGAACAAAAAACAGCGAACUGUGUAACGUUAGCGUGUGAAUGUAUUGUUUGGAAAGUAUUUACAGUUAGUUAGCCUAUUGAAGUUAGCUUAUUAAAGUAGAUUUAUUUAGCCAACAGAAAUACAGUAUAGAAGCCACUCAAUAUAGUCAAUGUCAUGUUUACUACGCUGCUUUAUUGUGAUUAGGACUUAGCCUAAUAAUAACAAAAACUUACAUCAAUGUCUAUCUUUUUUUACAGGUGUACUUGUGGAAAUUGUGCACGCAUGGCCCUCGAGAGAGAAAAUAUAUGUUGCAGGGAAAUACCACAGGUCACAAGAAUGAGAAAAGUGCCUAAUACAAUAUCAUGCAUGACAGACCAUCCUGGCCUUGAACCUGUGUGACUCAAUAUAUACUGUAUUCUUUGCAAAAUGCAAUGAAUGUAUAUAGAGCUGACCAUGGGCAUGUUGGAGUCAGAGGGAUGGAAAGACCCCGCCUUGACUGAAACGUGACACAUGCAGAGCAACAGCUUCUUCCUUGGAAGGUCUGUCAUGCUGAGAAGACAGGUCCAGAGGGACAGGAAUCUGCUGUAUGCCAUCCAGAUAUGGAAGGGGAUCACUGACAACUUCUUCAAAAACCGUAUUCAUUCAUUCAAGUUGAUGACAUAGCCUGUAAAGUAUAAUAAGUUAUUUAUUUAAAUAUUCAUUUUAUUUGCACAUUUGUAAGUAUUGUUUAAAAUAAAUAUUUUUUGGAAAAGCUUACAAAAUGUUGCCUCUGUUUUUACUGGUUUGACGGUGUUUCCUCCCUUUGGAAAGAGAAGCUUG